CCGAGCUGGGCUCUUCUCACCCAGGGCAGUAAAGUCAAACACUGAUGUUGCAAUUUGCAGCAGGGGAAAAAUGAUAUUUAUUGCAUGGUACCAAGCAAGGAGAACGGACAGCUCACGCUUAAGACCCAAACUCCCCAGUGGCUUACAAGCUGGGGUUUUUAGGGGUAUGGGUACAUUUCAGGAAAGCAGAAGUUGCAGGCAAAAUCAUUAACCAAUACCUGGGGUGUCAUGAGCAGUGAAAAGUUAGAGGUAAUCACAUCCAAGCAUGCCUGUGUCUUUCACAAUGUCAGAAUUUUAUUGAGGCUAUUUCAAUCCCUAAAGCCACGAGCCACACGGCGUUCCCAAGGAGGCAUGCUGCUUAGUGCUCCUUUUCCCUCGGUAGUGAGAGCCGCAGUCACACGGGCUCAAGCCACUGCACACGUCAGCCAAUAUUGCACACGACAACGUAAGAGUGUACUUAAUCAGUAUAUACAUGUUACAGGUUAACGUUCCACAACAAAGAAAGUAGAAUUUAACAUCCAGAGGAAACAGAGAUAGGAGAAGGGGUUCACGAACCAGUCCAGGGGAGUGAAGAAGACACAAGAAGAAGACAGACACCUCCUGGUGUGGGCCAGUCUGUGGAUCUUGCAAGGAUGUCUUCGAGGUGGUGGAGCCUCAGGCGGCAGAUGGAGCCACCCCCACCUCACCUGGCCCAUCCUCUCAGAUGCCAUGGACUCUCCAAGCAGAGACCCCUGAGGGCACAGAGUGGAUUCUGCUUUUCGGAAGGGACCACCCACCGGAGAGGCGACCCAUCCUUAUGCAGACACCAACACCAUGAUGUA
rnacentral:lncRNA from 1 species